UUUUGGUAAGCUCAGAUGGUAGAGCGCUGCACUGGAAAUGGAGAGAAUUCUGGUUCGGUACCAGGACCAGACG
rnacentral:tRNA from 2 species